UACGUAGGGCGCAAGCGUUGUCCGGAAUUAUUGGGCGUAAAGAGCUCGUAGGCGGCUUGUCACGUCGAUUGUGAAAGCCCGAGGCUUAACCUCGGGUCUGCAGUCGAUACGGGGCUAGCUAGAGUGUGGUAGGGGAGAUCGGAAUUCCUGGUGUAGCGGUGAAAUGCGCAGAUAUCAGGAGGAACACCGGUGGCGAAGGCGGAUCUCUGGGCCAUUACUGACGCUGAGGAGCGAAAGCGUGGGGAGCGAACAGG
rnacentral:rRNA from 1 species